rnacentral:rRNA from 1 species
AACGUAGGGGCAAGCGUUGCCCGGAUUCACUGGGCGUAAAGCGCGUGUAGGCGGUCCGUUAAGUCGGGUGUGAAAUCUCCAGGCUCAACCUGGAAAGUGCACCCGAUACUGGCGGACUUGAGGACGGUAGAGGUCGGUGGAAUGCCGAGUGUACCGGUGAAAUGGACAGAUAUUCGGCGGAACACUAGUGGCGAAGGCGGCCGACUGGGCCGAUCCUGACGCUGAGACGCGAAAGCCAGGGGAGCGAACCGG